rnacentral:misc_RNA from 1 species
GAUGAAGAACGUAGCGAAAUGCGAUACGUAAUGUGAAUUGCAGAUUUCAGUGAAUCAUCGAAUCUUUGAACGCACAUUGCGCCCGCUAGUAUUCUGGCGGGCAUGCCUGUUCGAGCGUCAUUUCAACCAUCAAGCCCUGUGCUUGUGUUGGAGCCCUGCGGCUGCCGCAGGCUCCCAAACCCAGUGGCGGGCUCGUCGUCGUACCGAGUGCAGUAAACAUACCACGCUCAGGGCACGCGACGGGUGACCGGCCGUAAAACCCCCCCCCUUCUCAAGGUUGACCUCGGAUCAGGUAGGAAUACCCGCUGAACUUAAGCAUAUCAAUAAGCGGAGA